CAUUACUGAGUUUACGCUCUACAACCCUUUGUGAACAUACCUAUAACUGUUGCUUCGGCGGGUAGGGUCUCCGCGACCCUCCCGGCCUCCCGCCUCCGGGCGGGUCGGCGCCCGCCGGAGGAUAACCAAACUCUGAUUUAACGACGUUUCUUCUGAGUGGUACAAGCAAAUAAUCAAAACUUUUAACAACGGAUCUCUUGGUUCUGGCAUCGAUGAAGAACGCAGCGAAAUGCGAUAAGUAAUGUGAAUUGCAGAAUUCAGUGAAUCAUCGAAUCUUUGAACGCACAUUGCGCCCGCCAGCAUUCUGGCGGGCAUGCCUGUUCGAGCGUCAUUUCAACCCUCAAGCUCUGCUUGGUGUUGGGGCCCUACAGCUGAUGUAGGCCCUCAAAGGUAGUGGCGGACCCUCUCGGAGCCUCCUUUGCGUAGUAACUUUACGUCUCGCACUGGGAUCCGGAGGGACUCUUGCCGUAAAACCCCCAAUUUUCAAAGGUUGACCUCGGAUCAGGUAGGAAUACCCGC
rnacentral:rRNA from 1 species